AAGUCGUAACAAGGUUUCCGUAGGUGAACCUGCGGAAGGAUCAUUACAUAAUUAUAACAAAUGUGUGCAGGCAUGCGCGCGUUCCCUUCACCGGGGGCGCGCCUUGUCGGCCUCAUUUCAUAAACCCUUGUGAACCGUAACUGACACCUUUGGCGCAGCCCAUAUAUGGUCGUCGCAUCACUGCGAUGGCUGUGUAUUGCGCCAAACGGUACCAAACAAACUUAAACCAUUUACACAACAAUAUAAAGACUUAAUCUAAGAUUUUCUAAUUGAAAUACAACUUUUAACAAUGGAUCUCUUGGCUCUU
rnacentral:misc_RNA from 1 species